rnacentral:rRNA from 1 species
GUACACACCGCCCGUCGCUCCUACCGAUUGAGUGAUCCGGUGGAUAACUCGGACUGCAGCAGUGCCCAGCUCCUGGUCCUUGCUGUGGGAAGUUUGGUGAACCUUAUCACUUAGAGGAAGGAGAAGUCGUAACAAGGUUUCCGUAGGUGAACCUGCAGAAGGAUCA